UGAGUAACCUGCCCUUAACUCUGGGAUAAGCCUGGGAAACCGGGUCUAAUACCGGAUAUGACUCUUCGCCGCAUGGCGGGGGUGGAAAGCUUUAGUGCGGUUUUGGAUGGACUCGCGGCCUAUCAGCUUGUUGGUGAGGUAAUGGCUCACCAAGGCUUCGACGGGUAGCCGGCCUGAGAGGGCGACCGGCCACACGUGGGACUGAGAUACGGCCCAGACCUCCGUACGGGAGCAG
rnacentral:rRNA from 1 species